rnacentral:rRNA from 1 species
CCGGAGGAAGGCGGGGAUGACGUCAAGUCCUCAUGGCCCUUACAUCCCGGGCUACACACGUGCUACAAUGGCAGGUACAGAGGGCUGCGAAGCCGCGAGGUGGAGCGAAUCCCAGAAAACCUGUCUCAGUCCGGAUUGAAGUCUGCAACUCGACUUCAUGAAGGCGGAAUCGCUAGUAACCGCGAAUCAGCAGGUCGCGGUGAAUACGUUCCCGGGCCUU